CCACAAAUUAAAAAUAUAUUUUACUUUAAAAGGUAUUUGUAUUAUUUGAUAUUUAUAUAAUUUCAAGAAAGAAUGAAAUUCAAAUAAUUAUGAAUGAUUCUUUUUUAUGUAUGUAUAUAUAAAGAUAAACACGCAUAAAUAUAUGCGUGUAUGUAUCUAAACAUAUAUGUAUGUUCUUCUUAUCUCCCAAGUAAAACAUAGACUUAGCAAAAAAAUAAAAAAUUGUUACUAAAAUUUUAAAGUAUAUCGCGAUAUAAUAAUUAGUAAUUCGGUUCCUAUGUUCAACAGAAAUAAAAAGGAAAAUUAGACAAAUCAAAAUUGUUAAUACUUCAAAAUUAUAAAUAAAAAUGUCCAUAAUUUAUGGUUUAGUAGCAAGAGGUGAUAAAAUCAUAUAGAUGUAUAAAAAGAAAAGAAUUAAAAAGUGUGUCACAUAUGUAACAUGCGAUAUAUAUGUUAGUAUGCCACAGUACAUAUAUUGAUUCGAUUAUUUUUUUUUUUUUUACAUUUUUUAUUUUAUUUUUGCGUUUUUAGAAAAAAAUGUAUUAGCUGAGUAUACUGAAUUCGGGGGGAACUUUUCAAACAUCAGCAGACUACUUCUUGAAAUAAUACCCCCUCAUUCUGCGAGAAAGUCAUACAUAUACGAUGAUUACGUAUUCCACCAACUGAUAAAAAAUGGUAUUACCUUUAUGGCCAUGUCUGAUAAAGAAUUAGGCUUUUUAACUCCCUAUGCUUUUUUAGAAGAAAUAUCUAAAACUUUUUUUAAGAAAUUUCAUUAUACACCCGAUCUAAUUACUUUAUCAUUGGAUGAUGAAUUUAAACCAAUUUUGAAAGAAAACAUGGUAACAAUAAAAAUCAAAAGUUAUAUAUCUUUUGUAUUCAUUUUUUUUUUUUUUUUCGCUUCGUGUCAUGACUCUAAAUAGUAAUUAAAUAUAUGUAUAUAUGCACGUAUGUAUUAAUCACUCGUUUUAUUUUUAUGUAUAUUUGUGCCAUAUAUAUGCGCAAUAUCUUGUUUUACAUACAAGAUAUAUAAAUGGCAAAAAAAGAAAAAAAAAUAUAUAUAUAAAAAUGUAAAAAUUGGUGUUUUCUUUUUUAAAUGCAUAGAGGAUAUUUAAUAACUAUGAGUCCAGUGAAGUUCACAAUUUAAAAAAACGAAUCAGUAACAUACAAAAUAUCAUUAUUGAAAAUAUUGAAAAGAUAUUAGAAAGAAAAGAAAAGAUUGACAUAUUAGUUAAUAAAAGUGAAAAAUUAUAUCA
rnacentral:lncRNA from 1 species